rnacentral:SRP_RNA from 1 species
UCUGGGUGUGGUGGCUCACGCCUGUAAUCCCAGCACUUUGGGAGGCCAAGGCGGGCAGAUCACAAGGUCAGGAAAUCAAGACAAUACUGGUUAACAUGGUGAAACCCCGCCUCUACCAANNNNNNNNNNAGCAGUGAACCCACUUCCCGGGUUCACGCCAUUCUCCUGCCUCAGCCUCCCAAGUAGCUGGGACUACAGGUGCCCGCCACCACGCCCGGCUAAUUUUUUUGUGUUUUUUUGGUAGAGGCGGGGUUUCACCAUGUUAACCAGUAUUGUCUUGAUUUCCUGACCUUGUGAUCUGCCCGCCUU